rnacentral:rRNA from 1 species
UACGGAGGGUGCAAGCGUUAUCCGGAUUUACUGGGUUUAAAGGGUGCGUAGGUGGGCAGGAAAGUCAGUGGUGAAAUCUCCGGGCUUAACCCGGAAACUGCCAUUGAUACUAUUUGUCUUGAAUACUUUGGAGGUAAGCGGAAUAUGUCAUGGUAGCGGUGAAAUGCUUAGAUAUGACAUAGAACACCAAUUGCGCAGGCAGCUUACUGACACAGUAAUUGACACUGAGGCACGAAAGC